ACAUUUUUGGUUAAAUUUUUUUUUAAUAUAAGUCGUCGCUUUGAUCUUUACGAGUGUUUCAGACUAUGAGUCUGGGUCAAGUAUAGUUUCGUGUAUAGUUAGAAGCGUUUAUCAACCGUUUGUCUUAAAAUGAUGUCUUGGCAUGAUUCAAUUAGUUUUGUUGGAGGUGUUUUUUGCCCACUCCGUAAGCGUGAGUCCAAUGCCUGAAAGGCACCAUCUCAUCUUCUGAGCUUCUUGCCGAGUUGAAGCACAGGCAGCCACAAUAUGCUGCUUCCAAAAUUCGCUCGAAAACUUGGAGAGGGUCGGCAAUUUACUUAUAUUCGGCGCCACCGGUGGAGAUUCCUUUCUUUGGGAUCAAAACAUUCAAAUGCUUACACUGUUCCGGAUAAAACAAAAGAACUAUCAUGACACGCCUGUCGUGGAACGGAUUAACGUAACGCUUCCAGUAUUUAAGUAUUUGUUAGCAGUAUCAGUAAUUGUAUCGAUGUAUGUAUGUUAAUGGUCAUAUGAAAGCUGAAUUGAGAGCCAAAGCUCCCGCUUUGAUUUAUUCCGAUCGGAGAGAUCAAAGAGAUUGGAGGAAGCAAAACUGCGAAUAAUACACCCGGCUUAAGGUCCACGCUUAUGCUCGUUAAAGUCAACUUCCAGGGAAUCUCUUUUCGCACUCCUGUCUAUUUCGCACUCCUGUAUGGUGCAAUGCCGACUUCACAAAGGCGACCACCUCGACCACAUCAGCCGGCACACCGACGAAUGUACAGGGUGUAUCUGGCGGGGAGUUUCAGCAGCCACGGACUCCAUAGCCAAGUGGAGAUGGAUCAUGCCACGUCAUGAAUGCCACGUCAUCCAAGUUUGCGGAUCUAAAUCCACGGAUCGCUACAUUGGCCCACGCUUAUGCUCUAUUUUCUAUUCUACGCUACAAGAUUGGGUUGUUCUUGUUUCGGUUAAAGUUAACUCCCAAGGAAUCUCUAUCGGUAGGCGUCAAAGUUCAAGGGCCUUGUUCUGCUUUUGCCGUUUGAUGUAAGCAAAUUUCUUAGCUUUUUUUUAUCAACCCUACUCGACCAAGUUACAUCUGAUCGAAGUAGGGAAUGUUUUGAAGUGGCUACCGCCACUAACCAUACAACAUGUAGACUGGUCAUUUCAUACAACGAAAAUGGUCAUAAAAGUUUCGAAGCGGGAGGCACCACAACUGGUAGCGGCAGGCCCCGGUUUUUUUCGCUCUCAUUCUUGUUCUCAUUUUGACGCGCGAGCGCUCAUUACUCGAGUUCGGUCGUUCAGUCGCAGAGACGCGCAUUUUGAAGAAGGUUGCCCUG